GAGUACGGUCGCAAGAUUAAAACUCAAAGGAAUAGACGGGGACCCGCACAAGUGGUGGAGCAUGUGGUUUAAUUCGAAGAUACGCGAAGAACCUUACCUAGCCUUGACAUUGAUAGAAUACACCAGAGAUGGAGUAGUGCCUUUCGGGGAACUUGAAAACAGGUGCUGCACGGCUGUCGUCAGCUCGUGUCGUGAGAUGUUGGGUUAAGUCCCGCAACGAGCGCAACCCUCGUCCUUAGUUGCCAGCAGGUUAAGCUGGGCACUCUAAGGAGACUGCCUUCGUAAGGAGGAGGAAGGUGAGGACGACGUCAAGUCAUCAUGGCCCUUAUGGCUAGGGCUACACACGUGCUACAAUGGGGCGUACAGAGUGUUGCGAUACCGCGAGGUGGAGCUAAUCACUUAAAGCGUCUCUCAGUUCGGAUAGCAGUCUGCAACUCGACUGCUUGAAGCUGGAAUCACUAGUAAUCGUAGAUCAGCAAUGCUACGGUGAAUACGU
rnacentral:rRNA from 1 species